rnacentral:rRNA from 1 species
AUACGGAGGGUGCAAGCGUUACUCGGAAUCACUGGGCGUAAAGCGCGCGCAGGCGGUCUUUUAAGUUGGAUGUGAAAGCCUACGGCUCAACCGUCGAACUGCAUCCAAAGCUAUUAGACUAGAGUGUGGGAGAGGAAGAUGGAAUUAGUUGUGUAGGGGUAAAAUCCGUAGAGAUAACUAGGAAUACCAAAAGCGAAGGCAAUCUUCUGGAACACUACUGACGCUGAGGCGCGAAAGCGUGGGAAGCAAACAGGAUUAGAUACCCUUGUAGUCC